rnacentral:tRNA from 3 species
GCAGCGUGUUGGUCGCCUCGGCCAGGUUGUUGACGUCGUGAGUCAACACCUCACGGUUCUUGUCGAGGAACGGCCGGAUCGUCGUCAGCAAGCUGUC